GUAACUGUAAUGUCAGAUGGUUUUAUUAGGUUGGAGAAUGGACAAACAAAUAUGUACAGAGAGGAAUUGGAGAGAAGAAGAGAGAAAGAGAGACUACUAAAAUUAGUUGAUCAUUUUUAAUGAAACCCCAUAUUGUACACGUUGUAAAGACCUCGAGGGUCCAUGUUCCAAGUUGAAAAUGGUUUUUGUGACAUUUGACUUUUGAGGCAUUACUUGCUGCAAUUUGAUUUUAGAGGCACUUUAUGGUUUGUGAGCAUUUUGUUUAUAUCAUAAAACUUAUUGAAUAUUAGAAGGUUUUGGUGUCUCUAUCGUAUAGCUUUUAGCUGCACAUUUUAUAUGCUGGCAUAUGAUUUAAGAUUGCAGUCAUAUAGUAUACAGCUGCACUUUAAUUUUGCUGUUGAAUCCCAUAAACAAGUGCAGCCAUACUUUUCCAUACAUUGGCUAAGGCUGCACCUAGAAAAUGUGCAGCCUUAACCUAAGGCUGCACAUUUUUCACCUAUAGCUGCAAUUUUUUUUGCAGCCAAAGGUGAAAGAUGUUGUAGU
rnacentral:lncRNA from 1 species